AGGAGGGGGAGAGGUGCCAGCGUCGGCAGGACGUUGGAGAACACAGGGAACAUCGAAGGAGGGGGAGGAGGAGGAGGAGGCGGGGAGCUGGAGGGCAGUGGGGUGGUCAUCGCGGGAGCAGCGUGUGUUGCUGCCCAGAAGGUCUUUGCUCCUGCUGGAGCGGUCGGCCCGGCCAGCCCUGGAUCCACGGCCGUGUGCCAGGGGCCCGAGGAGAUGGAGCAGGGGGAGAGCCCCGCGUCAGACCUACUUCCCUCUAGUGCCACCAACGGGAACGGCGUUCAUUUCUCCGAAGACGGGGAAGCGAGAGAGAGCGAGGCAAACGCGGACGCAGGCGCGCCCGAGAAGGGAGCCGCAGCCGCCGCCGACCCGGCCGUCUCGGAGGGCUCCGCCGCCGCCGCCCCCCCCCCCGGGGACCAGGACUCCGCCAUGCAGGUGGACCCAUCGGCACAAGCCAGCGACCCCACGUCCAGCAGCACGCCGCCGCCACCCCCUGACGGCGACGCGGCGGCGGGCGGCGGUGGUGGAGAUGGCGGACCCGGGCGGCAGCCCCGCCCACACAGAGACGCCCGCGUUCCACACGGCCCGGUCACCGGCGCCUUCGCUGGAGUCCAUCGCCGUGCAGAGCGGCCCACAUGGCUGGGGGCUGUUGGACCACAGGCAGUACUGUCUUCAGGGCACCUGGGGGCCGGGGGACCAGGUCCCCACGGAGGCGGGUGCGCUGCAGAUCGGACCGCAGACAUCCGAGACGGACUGCACAGAGCUGCUCACGGAGAUGCUUCACGAUUCGGAACAGACAUGCCUAGACCCUCCAACGCUUGAAAGGAGGUGUAGCCCUUUCCUAGUGUUCUUUCAAAAUAUCUUGAACAAUAUUUAGUUUAGUGUAAG
ensembl:lncRNA